GGGCGGGGGGCGCGGCCCCGAGGCGUUGGCGGGCGGCGCGCGCCCUCUGCCGGCAGCGCACGGCACAGAGCGGCGGCCGCGCCGCGACCGGGACCGGGACCGGGACCGGGACCGGGACCGGGACCUGGACCGGGACCGGGACCGGGACCGGGAUCGGGACCUGGACCGGGACCGGGACCGGGACCGGGACCGGGACCGGGACCGGGACCGGGACCCGGAUGGGCGCAGCGCUGCCUCUGCUCCGGGGAACCGCUGCCUGCGGCGGCAAAGCGCUGCGCGUCUCCUCAGGCGGAACUCUUCCUAGCACUCUCAGACCCCGGCUGGGUGAGGGCUCCGGCAUCACCCCAAACGAGAUGGGUUCACACUCACGGCUUCGGCACAAUAAGUAUUCAUUGCAACUCCAGAACUAAAGACAAGCCUGAAAAACUGGGAGUACCUAUAAAUUGCAAAGCACCAAGUCUCAGCAAUGAAGAUAUUACAUAGAACAGCAACAGAGGAAAAAAUCAUUGGAGUAAAAAAUCAUUGGAGUAACAACAGCCAGUCACAGUCUCUCAUGAAGAAAGAUACAGGCUGCUUCUUGUCUAGAAACCUUCCUUCCCUCUGUGGGCCUCCUGCAUUGCCAGGAAUUGGCUCUGGAAUGCUGCUAGCAAUUUUACCUGAGCACAGAGACAUGGCUGAAGAUAUUAAAUGGUGAAAUAUUUAUUUUAAAUGUUUUUCAAAGAACCUUCUAGCUACCAAGAUAAAAUAUGUCUUCCAAAAGAAUUAGUUUCAGCAAAUAUCUUUGGGCAGAAAAGGGGAGAAGGUGGCAUUAAUGGUAUUAGCAAACAACAGCAUUAAUAGGAGGAAUAUAGGCUAGCAUGUGCCAAAGUGAGAAAGCAGGCAAAGGAGGGUAGCAAGUGCCAAACCAGCAUGUGUGCCUGCUUCACCCUAGAGCCAGGGACACAGGGCAGAUGGUGUGGAAGCAGAUAAGUGGUCAUAGCACAGCAAAGUGACCAAGCAGCCCUGAGAAACAAGCAGCAAAGCACUUACAUAAUCACAUUUUUAUGCUGCAUCCUUUCUUGUUGUAGGAGUAAUUUAUAGCAGUGCAGACCAGCUACAGAGCUGGCAUCACGUUUUCAAUGUGUAAAUGCCUUAAAUGAAAGAUGAUAUAGAAGUCAGCAGGAUUUCUUUCCUGCCUCUCAGCUCAUGUGAGGUGAACUAAUUCAACUCAGUGCUCAAGCAACAGAGAAUUACACUCAUG
rnacentral:lncRNA from 1 species